AUUGACCGCUGGCGGCAGGCCUAACACAUGCAAGUCGAACGCGUGGCGGACGGGUAAGUAAUGUCUGGGAAACUGCCUGAUGGAGGGGGAUAACUACUGGAAACGGUAGCUAAUACCGCAUACCAUCAUAUGUGCCCAGAUGGGAGUAGCUUGUUGGUGGGGUGACGGCUCACCAAGGCGACGAUCCCUAGCUGGUCUGAGAGGAUGACCGGCCACACUGGAACUGUGACACGGUCAAGAGCCCUACGGGAGGAAGCAGUGGGGAAUAGUGGAAAAUGGGCGCAAGCCUGAUGCAGCCAUGCCGCGUGUAUGAAGAAGGCCUUCGGGUUGUAAAGUACUUUAAGCGGGGAGGCGUUACCCGCAGAAGAAGCACCGGCUAACUCCGUGCCAGCAGCCGCGGUAAUAC
rnacentral:rRNA from 1 species